rnacentral:lncRNA from 1 species
CAAACAGUGCGGGAUGUGUUAUGUACCAUUUUCCGCUCUGUCAGUAUGAGGAGGUGCGUGUGGAGCUGGCCACAGUCCAGAGGGAGCUGGGAGGAGUGCGUGAAGGGGUGCAGGAGGAGGUGCGCGCCAGAGAGCGUCUGUCUCAUGACCUGCAGGUCAAAACAGGUCAGGUGCACUCGCUGGAGGGACAACUCGAGUCUGCCAGGAAGCUGACACAAAACCUCACGCAGGAGAUCAAACGGCUUGAGGCGGAGCUGGAAAAGCAGCAUAAGGGAAAUGGCUCUGGGGAAUCCAUGUUGUUUUCCACACCUUGUUGGAACAUGAGCUCUCCCUGGGACAACAACGGUGGUUUCAGAGUGGAGAGUGAAAGCAAAACACAGCAUGCCAGACAGCAGCUGCAGUUUGGAGACGUCCCCAAGCCAUCGGCGGGCGGGGCUACCUCCCCGUUUCCACAGCAACCUCAUAAAUCCCCACCCCUUCGGCAACACAUCCGUCAAUCGGAACCGUCCACCCCCUCCUCUUUGUUUCCAUGGGAACGUGAGAAUUUGUGGUCCACUCCCAAAGGACGACCAGCUUCCUCGGUUUCAUCCAGUGAUGUCAUAAUCAAGAACAGUGACUCAGGGAUGGAGGAAGCCUUGAGGAAUGAGAUAGAUGGUGAGCUUCUCCACAAACUAUUGGGGUUUCAGAUGUUUUGCACUGAAAAGCUGAAUUUUAAUCAGAUUUUCAGGCAUCCCUGAGUAAAAUGAAACCAGGAAGCUUUUUGCAACCAGCCCAGAGUCUUUUACAAUGCGCUUUAUUGCUUAAAUUCUAAAGCACAGAUUGAGUUACAUUUCUCUUCCUGGGUUGUUUGAAUCCAGG